rnacentral:pre_miRNA from 1 species
AAAUAUCAGCUGGUAAUUCUGGGGUCGUUCACCCCCAGGUUAUCAGUUGGUAUAAAG